rnacentral:rRNA from 1 species
UACGUAGGGUGCAAGCGUUGUCCGGAUUUACUGGGUUUAAAGGGUGCGUAGGUGGAUCGGUCAGUCCGUGAUGAAAUGCAGGAGCUUAACUUUAUGCGCUGUUACGGAUACUGCCAAUCUUGAGUACGAGUGAGGUAGCUAGAAUGAGUGGUGUAGCGGUGAAAUGCGUAGAGAUCACUCAGAAUACCAAUUGCGAAGGCAGGUUGCUAACUCGGAACUGACACUGAGGCACGAAAGCGUGGGGAGCAAACAGG